ensembl:snRNA U6 U6 spliceosomal RNA
GUGCUCGCUUCAUCAGUACAUAUAGUAAAAUUGGAACAAUACAGAGAAGAUUAGCAUGGCCCUGUGAAAGGAUGACAUGCAAAUUCAUGAGGCAUUCAAUAUUUGU